rnacentral:rRNA from 1 species
AAUUGCCAUCAUUUAGUUGGGCACUUUAAGAGACUGCCGGUGUUAAGCCGGAGAAGUGGGGAUGACGUCAAGUCCUCAUGGCCUUUAUGCCCAGGGCUACACACGUGCUACAAUGGGCGGUACAAAGAGAAGCAACCUCGCGAGGGUGAGCAAAUCUCAAAAAGCCGUUCUCAGUUCGGAUUGAAGUCUGCAACUCGACUUCAUGAAGUCGGAAUCGCUAGUAAUCGCGGAUCAGCAUGCCGCGGUGAAUACGUUCCCGGGCCUU